CCAAUAGCGUAUAUUAAAGUUGUUGCAGUUAAAAAGCUCGUAGUUGAAUUUCGGGAUCAAUACGUCGGUCGUGCUUUUUGGUACGAACUGGCGUCAUUGGUUUCUCCUUUCUGACGAACCAUGAUGUCAUUAAUUUGGUGUUAUGGGGAGUUGGGACUGUUACUUUGAAAAAAUUAGAGUGUUUAAAGCAGGCAUAAGCUUGAAUACAUUAGCAUGGAAUAAUGAAAUAGGACGUUCGAUCCUAUUUUGUUGGUUUCUAGGAUCAACGUAAUGAUUAAUAGGGAUAGUUGGGGGCAUUAGUAUUCAAUUGUCAGAGGUGAAAUUCUUGGAUUUAUUGAAGACUAACUACUGCGAAAGCAUUUGCCAAGGAUGUUUUCAUUAAUCAAGAACGAAAGUUAGGGGAUCGAAGACGAUCAGAUACCGUCGUAGUCUUAACCAUAAACUAUGCCGACUAGGGAUCGGAUGAUGUUAAUUUUUUAAUGACUCAUUCGGCGCCUUACG
rnacentral:misc_RNA from 1 species